rnacentral:lncRNA from 1 species
ACAGCAGCAAAUGAAGCCCAAAACACUAUAAAAAUUUAACCAAAAACAGCAGCAAAUCAUCCCAAAUACAGCAGAAAAUUUAUCCAAAAACAGCAAAAAAUUUAACAGAAAAACAGCAGUAUAUUUACCCAGAAAUAGCAAAAUAUUUAGCCUAGAACCAGUAGCAAAUGAAGCCCAAAACACCAGAAAAAAUUAACUGGAAAUAGCAAAAAAUAUAGACCCAAAAAAUUUAACAGAAAAACAGCAGUAUAUUUACCCAGAAAUAGCAAAAUAUUUAGCCUAGAACCAGUAGCAAAUGAAGCCCAAAACACCAGAAAAAAUUAACUGGAAAUAGCAAAAAAUAUAGACCAAAAACAGCAGUAAAUUUAUCUAAAAACAGCAGAAAAAUAAACUAAAAAAUAGCAGCCAAUUUACCCAGAAAUAGCAGAAAAUUUAACCUAAAAACAGCAGCAAAUGAAGCCCAAAACACAAGAAAAAUUUAACCAAAAACAGCAGCAAAUCAUCCCAAAUACAGCAGAAAAUUUGGCCAUAAACAAAAGCAUAUCAAACCCAAAAUUUUUGCUUUCAUGGUAAAAUGAGUUAAAAAAGCUGAUAUAAUGAACCUUGCGGUCAAAUGUCAAAUCUGACUACUUUGAACGAACUAAAGGCCAACAAUGAAAAUUUUACAUAAAAGCAACCAGAAUACCAACAAAAUAGCUUAAAUUAAAAGUUUUUUGACUUGUUCAGGAGAGACAUCAACAAUUUCCAAAACUUUUUGCUGGACCUCACCUUUAUAAAUUAUCAAAACUUCUGCCACCAAUCUGACAUCACAGAAAAACAAGCAACACCACAUUUAAUUAAGUUAUAAAAAAACUUCAAGAUUUGCAGAUUCCGGGAUAUAAUAAGAAACCAAUCAUAGAACAUGUCAUAAGCAAGGGCUCAAGUAGAGGAAAGAUCUUAAAUGCCUCAAUGUGAUGAUAAUCAUCAUGAAACAAUAUCAACAGAUGUGAUCUAGGGACACAUCUCAUAUAAAAACCUUCAAACAAUAUUAAUAUAAGCGAUAGAUCAUAUAAAAUAAAUAACUUCAUAACAAAAGAGUUUACAUUAGGGGUUAAAAAAAAAAAAAGGUACUGAGGCUAAACCCUGACCUCUGGUUACCGCACUUUCAUUUGUGUGUAAAGUCUCCCAAAUUCUUUAGUCAUGGCGUAAUAGAUUCUCUUAUAUAUAUAAUGAAUAAUGUUGUUAACAGAAGCCCCUGAACUUAGAAUUACUUCCAGUUCUUUAUAUUCUUAGUUCUAAUAAGGCAAGAGUGAGUUUUGGUAUAUCUAAUGGGAUAUAGAAAGGUAUUUACCCCCAUUUUAUCUAGCAACUUCAAAACCUGGUAAGUCUCUCGCAAAACCUGAAUUUAGAUGGAUGGACUUCAAAUUAAUCCUAAUAAAUUUUUUAAAAAAUGGAAAGAAAAAUUGAGUAACUGCGGCAAAAUUAUGCAAAGAAAUUAAACUGGCUGAGAAGAUGGAGCAACUUAAAUGUGCUUGAUGUAGCAAAUUAAAUGAUUGGACUAAGAUACUUGAUUCCCCAAAAGUCAGUGUCUUCAAAGUGUUGAAACUUGAAAGGAAAACACAACCCUUCACUCAAAACAAAGACCUGGAAUGACUAAGAUAGAAUUUCAUACACAUGAAAGAAAUUACGAGGGCUAAUUUGCUUUUCUAAUAAUCUCUUUCUUAAUGAUGGCAUUUUGACUUGUGUGGGAAUGAAGUGGGAACAAUGAUGAUGAUGGGGACAAUAAUGGGAAGAGGACAUGAUUAUUGAUGUUGGCUUAAUUCUGCGGGCAUUGAGAGUUAAAAGAAGAGAGAGAGAGAUGAUGAAAAAAUAGAAAAUUCAUUCUAUAGUUUCUGUGCUCCUCUCUCUCUCUCUCACAUCAUGCCAGAGGACGAAAACAGAGUAAAGAUGCAAAAUUGUGCACAGAAGGAAUAUUAUAUCAGAUAAUAUAAAAUUGAAUGAGAGAUCUGGAACUAAAUUGCUUAGCAUAACAUGAAACCUUCGACUCUUCAAAGUUGGAAGCCAAGGAUUAACUUACCUUGCACAAGUGAUGAUGAACAAACCAGGACAGAGACAGCAACAACAGAGACGCAGCAGUUGGAAGGCAGAAAAUUGGCUCAAGGAUGGCUACAAUCUACCGGUGCACACGAACGAAAGUUUACGCAGGGGUGGGUGUGGCUUUCGUUUGCAAUUCAUUGAUUAGGGAUUGAAUUUUCCCUUUAUAUUAUAUUAUUCUUGUAAUGGGCAAACCCCCUUUCUUUAAUUUUAAACCGGUAAAAUUUUACUUUUAAAAUAAUAUUUAACCGACUUGUAACCGGUUAUAUGUAAUUUAAUCAAUUUCUUUUAUUGAAUUAUAAUUAUUUAGAAUCGUUAAUUUAAUUUAACGGUCCACGUCCAUUACGG